rnacentral:rRNA from 1 species
UACAGAGGUCUCAAGCGUUUGUUCGGAUUCAUUGGGCGUAAAGGGUGCGUAGGCGGCGCGGUAAGUCGGGUGUGAAAUCUCGGAGCUUAACUCCGAAACUGCAUUCGAUACUGCCGUGCUUGAGGACUGGAGAGGAGACUGGAAUUUACGGUGUAGCGGUGAAAUGCGUAGAUAUCGUAAGGAAGACCAGUGGCGAAGGCGGGUCUCUGGACAGUUCCUGACGCUGAGGCGCGAAAAGCGUGGGGUAGCAAAACAGG